UCUCCGUUCGUUUUCUUUUAAUAGUAGCCCAGAAUAAUCUACCGGACACCAUUUUGACACCUCAGUGCCAGCACCUUUGGCAUAUUGAUUUGCUGACAGGCAGAGACUCUCACUUUAUGUCCUUGAACUCACUGUGCUUUCCUCGUCAGGGGGAAUGAGAGCCUGCCAGCAAUGCCGUGAUGCUCGUGUGAAAUGCGUGGAAAAUCUCUUAUCGACAAGAUGCUGCGUGUGAGCAGGUGUCUCUGUCCUCUACGGCCCGCGCCUACCCUGAGGGACCUGCAGUCUGUUGCCGCUAGCCCUGCAAUUCUCCUCUACUACUAGAAGGAGGACUCUCCUGCAAAGAUAGAGGAUUUAUGUUUUCCCUGUUUGGACAUUAAAAUACUGUUUCUGUUGAAUCGCUGUUGGGUCCUCACUCACCUGCAUAACACUACUGGCAUUUCAGCACCUUGUCCAGCGUCUGAGGCUACAACAAGUACAAGACCUCGCCAACUAGAAUGUGCAAUAUGAAGUUAACUAAUUAACUAUCCUUACCCCAAUAUAAAUGUCAAUUGAAUGAUGAUGUCCUUGUCCUUGAUAUAGUUACCUUUUGAGGGAUGGCAAGAGAUCCCCACUCCACAUGCCAGCCUCCUGUCUGGGACCUGGAUGGUUAGAGAGGGCCAGGUGGUGGUAGUCUUAACUCAAAUCCUGUUUUGUUCUUAGUCUGAAGAUAAUAUAACGUCAUAAAAACAUCAAACAGAGAAUGGAGAUGGGAAGCACAUCCAUGAUAUAGAUAAUCUUUUUUAUUUUAACCCUUGACCUUUUACAGUGCAUUUAAUUUGUUUACACAAUUAUUUGCUAAGUGACAGGUUUUAGCCACUAGUACAGAAUCAGAUAACUAUGUAUUAUAUUACAUAUCUGGGUUCCACAACCUCCUCCUUAAGGUUUUGCCUUAAUCAACAUCGUGUGAAAAGACCCCAAAAGUUAUUAUGCAAUGGAUAACCAUGACAACCAUACAAACUCAAUAUUUAAGUUGAAUCUUUAAAUCUUCAGUUCAUUCAUUUACAAACAAAUCAAUCUCAUUAUCUUUAUCUAAUGGACAUGUCCCUGUUCUGAUAUUUAAAUAGUUUCCAUGUUGUUAAAGCAGCUAUCUGUACCAUUAAAACAAACCAAGCAGUGGCCAGUUAGUUAACCUGCUGUCGUCUCCUUGAGAAAUGCUUUCAAAAAUAAAAAUGACAAAAUAAAGUAAAUAUGGUACUAUUGUGUCAAGGAAAGCUCAUUAGACGAAACAAACACAGAGCUUUUUGCAAUAGAACAAUUUGUUGGAACCACAGCCAAACUCCGGCAAGGCGUCCAAACUGAUUUAGCUACGUUCCACAACAGUUUCAGUUCAUUUUGGAAACAUGACAAACUCAGUUUAGAUACAAGGCCAAACUCGCCUACUGUAAGCACAGGAAAUAAAGAAAUAGCAUUUUAGUACUUUCUCUGGAGUCUUUUUAAUGCCAGGUACUACAUUCUGAGACAGGAACCUGACAAGGACAAUGAUCGAACGAUUGAUCAAACAAUCAAUCAAAAGACGAGGGUUGAGCAGUCAAUCGCAACAGGACAAUGUUACUGUACAUCAACAAGCCCCUCUCAAACAUCACUGUAGAAAUACAGUACCUGUCAAACGUUUGGACACAGCUACUCAUUCCAGGGUUUUUCUUUAUUUGGACUAUUUUCUAUAUUGCAGAAUAGUAGUGAAGAUCAAAACUAUGAAAUAACACAUAUGGACUCAUGUAGUCACCCAAAAAGUGUUAAACAAAUCAUAAUAUAUUUUAUAUUUGAGAUUAUUCAAAGUAGCCACCCUUUUGCCUCGAUGACAGCUUUGAACACUCUUGGCAUUCUCUCAACCAGCUUCAUGAGGUAGUCAGGAAUGCAUUUCAAUUAACAGGUGUGCCUUGUUAAAAGUUAAUUUGUGGAAUUUCUUUCCUUCUUAAUGUGUUUGAGCCAAUCAGUUGUGUUGUGACAUGAUAUAGAUAGCCCUAUGAUAAAGAUAAAGAUAGCCCUAUUUGGUAAAAGACCAAGUCCAUAUUUUACUAGGCAAGUCAGUUAAGAACAAAUUCUUAUUUUCAAUGACGGCCUAGGAACAGGGGCAGAACAACCUUGUCAGCUUGGGGAUUUGAACUUGCAACCUUUCGGUUACUAGUCCAACACUCUAACCACUAGGCUACCCUGCCGCCCCAUGACAAGAACAGCUCAAAUAAGCAAAGAGAUAUGACAGUCCAUCAUUGCUUUAAGACAUGAAGGUCAGUCAUUGCGGAAAAUUUCUUCAAG